UGAUCAAGGCUCUACGUUGUUGUGCGAACUCUUGGCCAUUCAACAUCUCGUCGAUCUGGAUGCAUUAUGGAGAAAAUCUAGAUAAUGACUUCCAUGAUGAGCCUCUGGAUUGGGACAUACUGGAGAAGAUACUGGCGGGCGAGCAGUUUAAGGGCUGGGACUGGUUUCUGACUAAGUUACACCGAAUGCUGCAGAACGCAAUGUCCUGCUUCACCGAAUGCCCAUCGAUCCGCACAGCGACACAGAGGACCUUCGAAAAGGUCGUGGAAAUUAUACCUGAUUAUGAAGGACGCAUGGCUCACGUAAAGGCGACGGCUCACGAAGCGGUUCGUUUGAAAUUGGACGCCAUGACACCAUCUCAAAAAGAGGAACUCCUUAAAUAACUUGAAUUAUCCAAGAAAGCAAACAGAAAUCAUUCCUAUUGGUUUGUAACAGAAAUUUGAAUAAAUAACACAAGGCGAGAAGUACUCACUGCAUGCUUUCGAUAGGUUUUCUAUCUUAAGGGUUUCGAUGACAGAUGAAGAAAAAAAGUAAAAUUUGACAAAUAACCGCUAAGGUGCAGAUGUAGUACUGAGUGCCGGGUAUAAAAGUUGUGACGCGAAAGAAGCGUCUCACACGUCCCUUCUCGUUCUUCUUUUUUUUUCUUUUGCUGGAAGAGAUAAAGCUUCCAUUGCGAAGCCUCUUUUCCAUCUUUAAGGAUUCCUUAUAGUAUGCCUUGAACAAGGACUCACCAGACUGACUAACUUGUCUCUCACUCACUCUAAAAACAUUACAGUUCAAGACAGAAAUACAAUAUACAAAGAACAGAGAACAAACUCCAAAAAUGAAACGAGAGCCACUGAAAGGCAUUACCAACGUGCAAACGGAUAAGAAAAUGACCCAAAAGAACACCAAAAAUGGGCAACCAGCCCGCAGAUGCUUCGAGAUCUUUAGAGGAUCUAACUGAUGGGCGGACCAGAGAGUGAGUGUCAGAGAGGAGUCCGAAUAGUAUUAUCAUGUUCAUGGUUAUUUUGGAAAUCUGAAGAACUCACACAGAAUAGAGAAACACACAAAAGACACAAUCUUAAACCACAAGAAAUA
rnacentral:lncRNA from 1 species